UCAAUAUAACAUGCACUUUUGAUUGGUGGUUUCAAAUCCGUCAUAGCGCCAUUCUAUUCAGCGCCAUUAUUAGAUUGAAACCAAUGCAGUCUUCGAGCUGGUAUUAUGUUGAGUCAUAAUAACUGUGCGGAUCGCGCUUUUGCGCGAUAAAUCGAUUGAGUUUCUGCCCUAUCAGCUUUGGAUGGUAGGGUAUGGGCCUACCAUGGCAUUAACGGGUAAGUAUUAUACGUGA
rfam:Phytophthora parasitica P1569 supercont1.1198, whole genome shotgun sequence.